rnacentral:pre_miRNA from 2 species
UACACUUUCAUCUUAACCAUUGAUUUGAAAAAUGAAUGAUUAAUAUUCCUUCUCAUCCUACUUAGGCAAAAUAAACUUUUUAUUUGAUUUGGGUGGUUUAUUUUGCCUAAGCAGGAUGAGAAGAAAUAUUAACCAUUCAUUUUUCAAAUCAAUGUUUAAGAUGAAAAUCUA